rnacentral:piRNA from 1 species
UUUUUGUCUAUGCCUGUAAUUUUAAGGUU